GACGAACGCUGGCGGCGUGCUUAACACAUGCAAGUCGAACGGAAAGGCCCUGCUUGCAGGGUACUCGAGUGGCGAACGGGUGAGUAACACGUGGGUGAUCUGCCCUGCACUUCGGGAUAAGCUUGGGAAACUGGGUCUAAUACCGGAUAGGAGCCAUCUUUAGUGUGGUGGUUGGAAAGUUUUUUCGGUGUAGGAUGAGCUCGCGGCCUAUCAGCUUGUUGGUGGGGUAAUGGCCUACCAAGGCGGCGACGGGUAGCCGGCCUGAGAGGGUGUACGGCCACAUUGGGACUGAGAUACGGCCCAGACUCCUACGGGAGGCAGCAGUGGGGAAUAUUGCACAAUAGGCGCAAGCCUGAUGCAGCGACGCCGCGUGGGGGAUGAAGGCCUUCGGGUUGUAAACUCCUUUCGCUAGGGACGAAGCGUUGUUGUGACGGUACCUAGAUAAGAAGCACCGGCUAACUACGUG
rnacentral:rRNA from 1 species